rnacentral:rRNA from 1 species
GCCCCGUAGGCGAAAGAGUUCGUAUGGUACUAAGGAAGCGAGAAGUAGAGCGGGACACGUGGAAUCCUGUUCGAAGAUGGGGGGACCAUCCUCCAAGGCUAAAUACUCGUGAUCGACCGAUAGUGAACCAGUACCGUGAGGGAAAGGCGAAAAGAACCCCGGGAGGGGAGUGAAAUAGAACCUGAAACCGCAUGCAUACAAACAGUAGGAGCCUCACCAGAGGUGACUGCGUACCUUUUGCAUAAUGGGUCAGCGACUUACAUUCUGUGGCGAGCUUAACCGAAUAGGGGAGGCGCAGCGAAAGCGAGUUCGAAAUGAGCGUCCAGUCGCAGGGUGUAGACCCGAAACCAGAUGAGCUAUCCAUGGCCAGGUUGAAGGUGUGGUAACACACACUGGAGGACCGAACCGACUAGUGUUGCAAAAUUAGCGGAUGAGCUGUGGAUAGGGGUGAAAGGCCAAACAAAUCUGGAGAUAGCUGGUUCUCCCCGAAAACUAUUGAGGUAGUGCCUCGUGUGUCGCUCCAGGGGGUAGAGCACUGUUUUGGCUAGGGGGACAUGGAGUCUUACCAAACCAAGGCAAACUCCGAAUACCUGGAAGCGUAAGCACGGGAGACAGAGCACCGGGUGCUAACGUCCGGACUCAAAAGGGAAACAACCCAGACCGCCGGCUAAGGUCCCCAAUAACAGCUAAGUGGAAAACGAAGUGGAAAGGCCGUGACAACCAGGAAGUUGGCUUAGAAGCAGCCAUCCUUCAAAGAAAGCGUAAUAGCUCACUGGUCGAGUCCUUCUGCGCGGAAGAUGUAACGGGGCUAAGCUGUUAACCGAAGCCGCGGAUGCACUGAUUAUUCAGUGCGUGGUAGGGGAGCGUUCUGUAAGUCUGCGAAGGCGGUUCGAGAGGACUGCUGGAGAUAUCAGAAGUGCGAAUGCUGACAUGAGUAACGUUAAAGCAGGUGAAAAGCCUGCUCGCCGUAAGCCCAAGGAUUCCUGCUCUACGUUCAUCGGAGCAGGGUGAGUCGGCUCCUAAGGUCAGGCCGAAAGGCGUAGCCGAUGGGAAUCAGGUUAAUAUUCCUGAACCUGCGUCAGAUGCGAUGGGGGGACGGAGCAUGAAAGAUCAUCCGGGUGUUGGAUGUCCCGGUUGACGAGCGUAGGAGGUCUGCAGGCAAAUCCGCAGACGCAUCUCCAAGGCGAAGUCACGUGCCGCCACGGCGGCGAAGUGAUCGGAAGUGCUUCCAAGAAAAGCCUCUAAGCACCAGUCUGACGCGGACCGUACCGCAAACCGACACUGGUGGGCGAGCUGAAUAUGCUCAGGCGCUUGAGAGAACUCGGGAGAAGGAACUCGGCAAAUUGACACCGUAACUUCGGAAGAAGGUGUGCCGUAGUACCGUGAGAGGAGAGACACCUUGAGCGGGAAUCGGUCUCAGAGAAUAGGUGGCUGCGACUGUUUAUUAAAAACACAGCACUCUGCAAAGUCGAAAGACGACGUAUAGGGUGUGAUGCCUGCCCGGUGCUGGAAGAUUAAUUGAUGGGGUGAGAGCCCUUGAUCGAAGUCCCAGUAAACGGCGGCCGUAACUAUAACGGUCCUAAGGUAGCGAAAUUCCUUGUCGGGUAAGUUCCGACCUGCACGA